rnacentral:snRNA from 1 species
AUAUCUUUCUUUGCCUCUUGGCUAAGAUCAAGUUAGUAUCUGUUCUUAUCAGUUUAAUAUCUGAUAAGUGGAUCUUUGGGUUCGCAUGAUAUUAAUUUAAUUUUUUAAUUUUUAUGGGGAGAAUUUAUUUAUGUAGCUUGCUACAUGGAUGGUUCUUAUGUGUCGUCCAAGCGUUGCACUACUGCUUUGGAACAGGCACACUUCGA